rnacentral:tmRNA from 1 species
GGGGCCGUAACGGUUUCGACAGGUUGGUGAAAGCUAAUCCGUGAUGCAGGUCGAGAGCGAGUCACAUCUCGUAAAUCAAGGCUCAAAAAAAAUAGUAACUGCGAAAAACAACAUCGUAGCAUUCAAUCGCGUAAAGGCAGCUGUUGCCUAACAUCUCAAACCGAGAUUGCGAUUGCUCCUCAGUCCGACUCCGUUAAGGGCUAGGAGAUUAACCCCAACGGAUGCACUCAAUAGCUAUUUCUGGUUAGCUAUUGAGUAAAGACUUUACCAGAAAAUCCCGCCAUCAGGGAUAAGUGAUGGUUCCCGCCUAAGGGUAAGAAGGGCUAAACCUGUGAACGAUCGGAUGGUCAAUACCCAGUCUGGACAGCAGUUCGACUCUGCUCGGCUCCAUUA